rnacentral:rRNA from 1 species
GAUGAACGCUGGCGGCGUGCCUAAUACAUGCAAGUCGAGCGAACGGACGAGAAGCUUGCUUCUCUGAUGUUAGCGGCGGACGGGUGAGUAACACGUGGAUAACCUACCUAUAAGACUGGGAUAACUUCGGGAAACCGGAGCUAAUACCGGAUGAUAUUUUGAACCGCAUGGUUCAAAAGUGAAAGACGGUCUUGCUGUCACUUAUAGAUGGAUCCGCGCUGCAUUAGCUAGUUGGUAAGGUAACGGCUUACCAAGGAAACGAUGCAUAGCCGACCUGAGAGGGUGAUCGGCCACACUGGAACUGAGACACGGUCCAGACUCCUACGGGAGGCAGCAGUAGGGAAUCUUCCGCAAAGGGCGAAAGCCUGACGGAGCAACGCCGCGUGAGUGAUGAAGGUCUUCGGAUCGUAAAACUCUGUUAUUAGGGAAGAACAUAUGUGUAAGUAACUGUGCACAUCUUGACGGUACCUAAUCAGAAAGCCACGGCUAACUACGUG